rnacentral:rRNA from 2 species
GACGAGGGAUCCUAGCGUUGUUCGGAAUUAUUGGGCGUAAAGCGGGUGUAGGUGGCUUGGUAAGUCAGGUGUGAAAGCCCAGGGCUUAACCCUGGAAGUGCAUUUGAAACUGCCGAGCUUGAGUGUGGGAGAGGAUAGUGGAAUUCCUGGUGUAGUGGUGAAAUACGUAGAUAUCAGGAGGAACAUCGGUGGCGAAGGCGGCUAUCUGGCCCAACACUGACACUCAGACCCGAAAGCGUGGGGAUCAAACAGG